rnacentral:hammerhead_ribozyme from 1 species
AUCCAGCUGACAAGUCCCAAAUAGGACGAAACUUGCGUCUUGAAU